UCUUAUGGAUGAGCAAAGAAAAUGGUUUCUUGAGACGGAAUCUAUUCCUUUUGAAGAUGCUGUGAA
rnacentral:pre_miRNA from 1 species